UCAGGUGUGUGAGGAAGUCAGGUGCUAGUCAUGAGACUUAGCUGCAGUCCCGGGCGCCAUCUUGGGACUGCCGCCACACCCGCUCCCCACAACUACUGUUUCUGUAGCUUUGCUUCAUUGAAGGAAUAAUCACUGAAUAACUGGUAUCUGCCAGAUCCAGGCCUAUCUGUGGCAAUAAAGCAAAAAGCAAAGCCUUUAUGGUCACAGAGCACUGCAAUGGAGUUACUCCUGGAGGGAUUCUCAGCCCACAAGCAUCCAGCCUACAAGCACAGAAGCCAAGCACUGGAGAAGCAAACGGUGUCUUUGAGAUCUUGUCGGCUCACAGGAGAAGAAGCCACGCGAGCCGAAGGCCAACACGGCCACAUCACUCACACAGUCUCGCCUGGUACACUUUACCAUAAACCCAAGCAAGAGCAGAGAUUAAUAAAUUCUCAUGAACCCUAGCGGUGGACUCUAAACGAAGCCUGACCGAAAUGUAAGGAUUCUCCUGAACCAGGAUAGAAUCCUUAUGUCUUCCGUUGCCCACUUCUGUUGGCAUUUGCUGAGAGAGACUUAGAGAAAAAUGAGGGUGAGGGUCCACUUUAGGAUGUCUGACCCUGUGGAGUCAAAGAAGUUCAGAAAAUCAUGGGGUGACCCACAGAUUCCCCACUCAGACACCAGCUCAGUGGCUUUAGAAUCAACAACAACAACAACAAAAAGGGUAGGAGUCUGAGGAGUCUGACCAAUUUUGGUGUUUCUGGACUGAACACAGGGUGUCCAGAAGUGCAGCGACUUCUCAGUGAGUCACCUUGAGGGACGAGGGUCUGAAUGUGCUGCAACUUUAAAAGGAAAGAAAUGGCACCAAGGUGGGGGGGGGGGGGCUUUUGGGGAUUCUCAGACAUAAAACUCUGCCUCAUAACAACCAAACUUUAAAACUAAGUUUAAGAAAGAUUCUCAACUAGGGAAAUAAAUAAACAAGGCCAUGCUUGUAGGCCAGUUCCCCUCAUGAAUGUGGAGCUAUAUGGCACGGUUUAAUGAGUGAGCUGUCAAAGGUCUGGCCAAAGUCCCGGCACACAGAUAAAUGUUAGUUCCUGUUUCCAAUAUCAAUAAGAAGUAACUGUACCCCACGUCGUUGGACGUUUUCUUAGGAAAAUCCUUAGACAUCCCACUUAAAAGCCUGAUUCAUUGUCCCCUGGAAACACGUAUGUACGCAUAGUGCUUGCAUGUAAUUUUAGGGCAUCUGCCGGGGGACCCUGGAGCAACCUUUCCUUCAGGCUGUGCCAGCAAACAGGUGCGUGGGCCUCCAGAAACAAGAAGCGAAUGUGCUGGGCUCAAGUCUCUCUGCUUCCCAUAUUCUUACAGCAGUGCCCUCUCUGAGAGAGAGAGAGAGAGAGAGAGAGAGAGAGAGAGAGAGAGAGAGAGAGAGAGAGAGAGAACCUGCCAAAUAUUCGACACCGAAAGUUGGAAUUGAGUUCUUGAAAUUUGGAAUAAAUUCUCUUUACUAAUGAAGGGGAAAA